rnacentral:lncRNA from 10 species
GCUCUGAACCCCAUGAAAGCCAUGGCUCCUUCUACCCUGCCUACCAGCCUCUAAUAAAAACCUGAGCUUACAGGGAGUGAGCACUUGCUAGUGCUCAAAGAGCCUCACAUGUGUUCUCUCACUUGUGUCAAGGGUAGGGGCUAUCAAUCGCACUUUACAGACCAGGAAACUGAGGCAUGGAGAGGGUAGGUAGCUUCUACACGCUUUCAGAGCCAGCAAAUGGCAAAGCUGAGACUUGCACUUGGGCAGGCUGACUCGAGUCCAAAUUCUUACCCACAAAACCAAAUUGCCACCUGCCAUUAUCUAAUUACACUUAGUUGUUGAUUCCUAAAGUGCAGUCUAUUGUUUCU